GCCAGACUCCUACGGGAGGCAGCAGUGGGGAAUAUUGGGCAAUGGGCGCAAGCCUGACCCAGCAACGCCGCGUGAAGGAAGAAGGCUUUCGGGUUGUAAACUUCUUUUAUGAGGGACGAAAGAAAUGACGGUACCUCAUGAAUAAGCCACGGCUAACUACGUGCCAGCAGCCGCGGUAAUACGUAGGUGGCAAGCGUUAUCCGGAUUUACUGGGUGUAAAGGGCGUGUAGGCGGGACUGCAAGUCAGAUGUGAAAAUUAUGGGCUCAACCCAUAACCUGCAUUUGAAACUGUAGUUCUUGAGUGAUGGAGAGGCAGGCGGACUUCCGUGUGUAGCGGUGAAAUGCGUAGAUAUAAGGAGGAACACCAGUGGCGAAGGCGGUCUGCUGGACAGCAACUGACAGUGAGGCGCGAAAGCGUGGGGAGCAAACAGGAUUAGAUACCCCAGUA
rnacentral:rRNA from 1 species